rnacentral:rRNA from 1 species
UAGGGAAUCUUCGGCAAUGGACGAAAGUCUGACCGAGCAACGCCGCGUGAGUGAAGACGGCUUUCGGAUCGUAAAACUCUGUUGUUUGAGAAGAACAAGGACGUUAGUAACUGAACGUCCCCUGACGGUAUCUAACCAGAAAGCCACGGCUAACUACUUUCCAGCUGCCGCGGUAAUACGCAGGUGGCAAGCGUUGUCCGGAUUUAUUGGGCGUAAAGCGAGCGCAGGCGGUUUCUUAAGUCUGAUGUGAAAGCCCCCGGCUCAACCGGGGAGGGUCAUUGGAAACAGGGAGACUUGAGUGCAGAAGAGGAGAGUGGAAUUCCAUGUGUAGAGGUGAAAAGAGUAGAUAUAUGGAGGAACACCAGUGGCGAAGGCGGCUCUCUGGUCAGUAACUGACGCUGAGGCUCGAAAGCGUGGGGAGCAAACAGG